rnacentral:rRNA from 1 species
AUUGAACGCUGGCGGCAGGCCUAACACAUGCAAGUCGAGCGAGCGGCGGACGGGUGAGUAAUGUAUGGGGACUGCCCGAUAGAGGGGGAUAACUACUGGAAACGGUAGCUAAUACCGCAUACUAUCGGAUAACCCAUAUGGGAGUAGCUAGUAGGUGAGGUAAUGGCUCACCUAGGCGACGAUCCCUAGCUGGUCUGAGAGGAUGAUCAGUCACUCUGUGAAUGAGACGCGGACCAUACUCCUACGGAGGCGGCAUGGGGGAAUAGUGCACGAUGGGCGCAAGCCUGAGACAGCCAUGCCGUGUGUAAGAAGAAGGCCCGAGGGUUAUAAAGUACAUUCAGUCGGGGGGCGUUGCCGACAGAAGAAGCACCGGCUUACUCCGUGCCAGCCGCCGCGGUAAUAC